GCGUGGAUUAGGCAUGCAAGUCGAGCGGAAAGGCCCUCUUCGGGGGGUACUCGAGCGGCGAAAGGGAGAGUAAUACGUGGAUCAUCUACCCCCGGGUCCGGGAUAGCCACGGGAAACUGUGGGUAAUACCGGAUGAUGUCUCCGGACCAAAGGUGCGAUUCCUGCCCAGGGUAUGAGUCCACGUCCUACUAGCUUGUUGGUGGGGUAAAGGCCUACCAAUGCAACGAUGGGUACCGGGCGUGAGAGCGUGAUCCGGCUCACUGGGACUGAGACACUGCCCAGACACCUACGGGUGGCUGCAGUCGAGAAUCUUCGGCAAUGGACGAAAGUCUGACCGAGCGACGCCGUGUGUGUGAUGAAGGCCUUCGGGUUGUAAAACACUGUCAGUUGAGAGGAAAUCUCUUGGAGCUAUCUCCUUGAGUUGACCAACCUUCAGAGGAAGGACGGGCUAAGUUCGUGCCAGCAGCCGCGGUAAGACGAACCGUCCAAACGUUAUUCGGAAUCACUGGGCUUAAAGGGUGCGUAGGCGGCCUGUCAAGUGGGGUGUGAAAUACCUCGGCUCAACCGAGGAAUUGCGCUCCAAACUGAUAGGCUAGAGGAAGGCAGAGGUAAGCGGAACUUGCGGUGGAGCGGUGAAAUGCUUUGAUAUCGCAAGGAACACCAGUGGCGAAGGCGGCUUACUGGGCCUUUUCUGACGCUCAGGCACGAAAGCUAGGGGAGCGAACGGGAUUAGAUACCCCAGUAGUCCUAGCUGUAAACGUUGAGCACUUGGUCAGGGGACUCCCCAUAGUCUCUUGGCCGUAGCGAAAGUGGUAAGUGCUCCGUCUGGGGAGUAUGGGUCGCAAGGCUGAAACUCAAAGGGAAUUGACCGGGGGCUCACACAAGCGGUGGGAGGAUGUGGGUUAAUUCGAGGCUAAGCGAAGAAACCUUAUCCUAGAUUUGACCUGCCGGAUGCGCUACCCGAAAGGGGAUAGUGCUGCCCUUUAUGGUGAUACGUGCACAGGUGCUGCAUGGCUGUCGUCAGCUCGUGUCGUGAGAUGU
rnacentral:rRNA from 1 species